rnacentral:misc_RNA from 1 species
GAAUUUGAAAGGAGGUUUGUUGCUGGCUUGUACACCCAGGCAUGUGCACACUCCAAUCUCAUCCAUCUUACACCUGUGUGCACCCUUGCGUGGGUCCGUCGGCUUUGCGGUCGUUCGGGCUUGCGUUUUUUCUAUAAACUUUUAUGUAUGUAACAGAAUGUCUUGAAUGCUAUAAACGCAUCUUAUACAACUUUCAACAACGGAUCUCUUGGCUCU